UAUAAGCCGGCUGAGCCUUCCAGGCUUUACCUCACCUCUCGAAAAUCGAUUGAGCUGUUGUGGAGUUCUUAAAGACCCGUAACCGACUCAGGCAACAGAGCGUGCGACUACACUUCCCAGCUUGCCUCAUUGGGAGCUCCUGUGCGGCGGAAGCCUCACCAUCAGUGACACGUGAGGAAGCAAAGGAAGCUGUUGCUCCCUAGUCUCUUCCAACAAGUCAUUUACCACCUAUCAUGUGCCAGUUGAUGAGGAAAGAUUCAGUUGCAGUCUAAGGAUGAGACUGAAACAGGGACAGCAGGUGCUGGUGGG